AAGGAACUCUAAUGCUGAUUGGUUCUUGUGUCUGUGAGUCUGACUGUUCUGAUGAAUGAUUGGAUGCAGAGAGACGUUUGAGUUUUCUCCUGGAGGCUGAAGGACAAACCGGAAGGAAGUUGGACCGGAAUCCGUCUACAAGCAAACAGAUGAUGAGAAUUUUAAAAAGUUCACUGGUUCUGUUCGCGCCCCUGUGGAGGAUCUGGACCGGUUCUGGUGGAUCUGGACCGGUUCUGGUGGAUCUGGACCCAGCUCUGGUUCUGGGUGCCGCUGGUGGAGGAGUGACGUCACACCUGAACUUUGGACUUCGGUCCUGGUGCUGAACAAACAGGAGGUGUGAGAAAUAGUUUUCAACCAGCUCGUUAACUCGGACUGGUUCUGUUUUACGCCUCCAGAACCGCAGAUGACGUCAUGGAAACCCGGUGUGUUUGAUGGCGCGGCUCCAUCUUGUUUCUGCUCGGCUCCAUGUCUGCCGUCUGUUCUUUGUGCCGGACUUGGCGGGUCGAGCCGGCGGCGUGAAACCGGAUCCGCCCGCAGCUCGGGCUGAUUUGGGGAACAAUGCAGGAGGUGUAACUCAUCCACAUUGUUUCUGACGGCCCGAACACGCUGCUGGAGAGGAUCAGAACCUGAUCCAGUUUCACGGAAACACCUCCAGGCAGAGCCGAGCGGCUUUGGGCUGAAGCACGACGAGUGGAUUUAAUGCGAAACAUCAAGUUCAGAACCGGAGCAGAACCUUCAGCAGGAACUCUGCCAUGGUUCUCCUUGGACUGGACCUCUAAGGUCCGGGCGGGUCAGGAUCGAACCCGACCCGGGCCGGGCCUCCAGGUGUAUGGCAGGCUGCUUCCUCACAUUCCAGAUAUCUGGAAUUAUGACUACAGAUAUUUAGGUCCCAGUAAAUCAAUAAAUUGCUCCAUAACUGAACAGUUUAACAGCUGCUGGGAAACCGGUCGCCAUGGGUUACCAGCAUUCACCUGGGAUCUGCAGAAAAGAUUCGGCGAACAGGUGGGGCUUCUUACAGACAGACAGAAUCCUCAGAGCGCAUGACUGGAUCCACGACCCCCCAACGUUUCCCACACACCGGGCCAGAACAUGUGGAACCGUUUAAAGACGGCAGCCUCCGAUCAGCGUGUCACCCGACACCGCCCUGAGAGGGCCGUGUCCCCGCGCCGACAGACCAUAGGUCAGCGGCGACGAGGCCGAGAUCCAGGGUGGACGGCCGGCUGGCCUCCGGACCGCAGGCCUCCGGACCGCAGGCCUCCGGACCGCAGGCCUCCGGACCGCAGGCCUCUGGACCGGGCAGCCCGGCCUCCGGCUCAGAGGCUGGUCCGGCCCGGAGUUCCGGCCCGGAGUUCUGGUCCCGGGCGCAGCACGAUUCAGGCAGGAUGUGGGCUGAUGCCGUUCAGGUCCAAACUCUUUACCUCCUGAGCCAAAACUGUCAACCUGAAAGUAACGGAUAUUUUAAAAUCUGUCAUUUAAAAGUUGAGAAAAAAGCCAAAAGUUUCAUUUUUAUCUGCACAACUAACAGACACAAUAUUUUAAUAACUUAAAGAAGUCUGAUUUCCAAAAAUACAAAAUAUUUUAUAUUACAAAGUAUUCCUCUCUAGUUCCCAGUGCAAAUAUAAUAAGAAAAAUCUACCUUAGAAAUAUUGUUUCACCAAGAAUCUUGUUCUACUGCAGAUUAUUAUUAUUUUCCAUAUUACAAGUAAAUUAAUGGAGCAAGAACGUUUUCAUCAAUAUUAAGGAAUUAUUGACUAAAUCAAGCUCCUAUCUUGCUGAAAUGUUAUUUUCAAGUUAGUUUUAUCUUAUUUCCAGUUUGCUGAGAUACUGGACCAAACCUUUUUGUUAAGAUUUUGUGUUUUUCAGUGUAAAAUCUAGCAGGUUUGACCUUUUCAAGCAUCAAAACAACGAGCCGUGUGAAUGUAACGUAAAACGUAACUUCCUGCAUUAAUUCCAACAUCCUUUUUCUAAAUCUGCGGUUUCCUGAUCAACCGUCUUGGGAUCAGAAAACGUUUGAUACGAGGGUCCAGAUGUCAGGAAAUGAAGGAAUUUUAUAAAAAGUCGGGUUCUGUCUUGAUGUAUUCAUGUUGGAAUAAUGCAUGCUGAUUGGGAUCAAUGGUGUGAAAUUCACAGAGGGCUAAAGCUCUUCCCUCAAUGCUCUGACUGACUGUUGGAGGCUCCAGUUACUGCCUGGUCACAUGAUUGCCCACCUUUAGUGACUCUAGUUGUGUUUUCUGGUGUUUUUUACAGUGUGAGCCGAGUUCAGGCUGGACUGCAUGAGCCAAAGCUCUUUAAGCGAAGUGCAGAAACAUUGCUGCUUAAUAUGUUGUGAUUUUGCAGCUUUAUGGUUUAUCUCAGUUCAUUUCCUAUGAAUAUAAAUGAACAGACAGAACAGUGCAGCUUUGCUGCUGAAGCUAACUGACUCUCCUGGCUCAGCUGGUCUUCAUUUCUGCUCCGCCAGUCGAAUGUUGGCAUUAAGGCUCUGCUGCAACAACACAUUUUUCUGGGGUUAAUAUGGCCGACUCCUCGGCUUCAGUUCUGCUCCUCUGACCUCAAACCUCCACACAAUCCGACCACAUGUCAAAACAACGAGCUAAUUACGUGAGCUAAGUAAACAGCUCUCUGAUUGGCUGCCUGCAGAGCUCUCACGUCAACGCGGCGCUUCAGGAGUCGGCAUGCGUUUUCUGUCGCUGGUGUCUUUGUGUCUUUUUGAGUCGGGUCUGGUAACAGAACCCGACUCCUGUUUUCAUCCAUCACAUUGAAACAAGCUGCAUUCCUGCAAACAAAGGAACAGAGGGAGGACAGUCUGGAAACUGUUCAGCCAAUUAGAAAUGAGAGCAGGAAUGAUGGGAAUUCAGGGAAAUAUUCUCAGAUAAUUUAAUCCAUUCUGCAAGAGUUUUUAUUUUUGAUUUAUUCUGAGGUAAGGAGAGCUGAAGACGUCUUGCUGUGUCUGGUCAGGCCAUCACCAUACAACUAACACAACACAAUAUUUUAAUAAGUUUAAGACGUCUGAUUUCCAGCUGCACUGCAAAAAUACAAAAUCUCACCAAGUAUUUUUGUCUAGUUUUUAGUGUAAAUACAAUAGAAGCUUGUUUUAAGUGGACAAUUAAUUCACUUUGAUGAAAAAGUUCUUGUUCUGCUUUAAGGAAACUGGAAGAUGAAGCUUCAACGUUCGUCCAUUUGAAACGGAUUCGCUCUGGGACUUUUCCUCUGGAGGUUUCUGGACGUUUCCAACAGGAUCAGAACCAGAACACGCUGGCAGAAUGGUCUAUUUAAAGUUCUGCAGUCAAAAACUCAGCAGUUCAAAUGUCACAGUUCUAAACUGAAUAUUUAAUUUGAAAACUAAAUGUUUAGCUCCCAGCUAAACAUUUAGCUAACUAGAUGUUUAGUUUGCAUUUAACAUUUAGUUUACUUACAUUUAGUAAUGAGCUAAAUAUUUAGUUAGCAAGCUAAACAUAUUCAGCUAGCAAACUAAAUAUUUAAUUUGGAGCAAAAUACUUAGUUUACAAACUGAAUAGUAAGUUUAAGAAGUUAAAUAUUUGGUUAGCAAGAAAUAUAGUCACUAAAUAAAUGUCUAGCUUGCAAACUAAAUAUAAAUUUUGAUCAUCUGGAACUGUGACACUUAUAAAUUUCCAUUUAAUCUCUUUAACCAGCUAAAUAAUCCAAAAGGUUUUUUUCACUACGACGUCCCAUGAUGCAAAGCAUGAUUUAGAAACCCUCUAAACUUGUUGACCAGAUUGUAAAAUGCUCCGUGUUUCUUUAAUGACUCCGUUUCUCUUUCCUUGGAUGUUCCAUCAUUCCUGCUGCAGUCGAUGAUCGGAGGGAAGCUGCUCUUUCGUUGUCUGGACUGUCGAGGACAUUGUGAACUUCAGUAAAUAUUUCAGGAUGAGAGCCAGAACCUUCGGGUCCAUCCUGUUCUGUUCCAGACCAGGUUGAUCAGGCAGAGGUCAAUAGGUCACCUGAGUCUUACAGAAAUACAAACAUCACCUGUAGAGGGCCUUUCAGCAAAUAUAUGACGAUAUUUAGAACCGUUUUGUUUUUCACAUUUCAUGAAGACUUUGACAACAUCUGCAUGUCAAAGCAGUUUGUUCAGUUUGUCAGUUUAUUUCAUCAAAAACUGACAACAGAAAUACGGCGAUAAAUUAAUCAAAUUGAUAAAGAUGACAUCACAAACUUCGUGCUCAUUUCUAGUUCUUGUUUACUAUCAGAGUGAAGGGAAAGUUAUUUUUCUCUUUUGUGGAGUGAAAAAGUUACAUGUUUGUAGUUCACCCAUAAAUCUGACCUGGAGUCAAACAGCUGAACUUCUUUUCUGUUCCUCACACUGAUUAAAGAAAGAAAAACAUUUUGGAUCUCAAACACUUUAAAACAGAAACCAAAACCAGGAACUAGUAGAAGGAGGCAGAAAGUGGUUAAUGGGUCGGGUUUCAUCUGCAGCCAGAGAACCAGCAUCCAGACAGACCCGAGUCAGAGAGGAACCACAUCAACGGCCCAGUCAGAGCAAAACCCGCUGUGAAAGUACCGCGCUUCAGUCCACACCUUUCACUUCGAGGAAUUUUAACUCUAGCUAAGCUCUGAGUACUUCCCCGUCCACUCAUUAUGAUAAACGAGGCCCACAUCAAGCGGCCGGAUGUUUCUGGGGAACCACGGCAGCAUCUGUUUGGUUUCUCUGAGACUCUCUUCAGCGGUGCCAAAAAUCCCACCAGCUUCACGCCUGGCUUUGUUUUCUGAGAGCUGCAGCGACAUGAAAGUCUGAGGCAGAGAAAGUCCUGACGUUUUCUCAUCAGUCAGGAUGUUUGCUCCUCGGUGGGCUUCAGGGGCGGAGUUCCCCUCUUCUUCUUCUCCUCCUCUGUGGCUGCGCGGAGACAAACAGCUGCAGGAGGAAACCUGCUGCAGCAGCAGCCGUCAGAUCGUCAGCAGGUGAUUUCCUGCAGCUGCUGACAGGAAACUAACCGACUGUAAGAUGCUGCUCUGCACAUUUUGCUUCCAGAUCCACAGACUUCGUUUCAGUAAAUCACCUGUUGGUUCAUAAACAGGCCUGAUGGUUCUGCACGCUUUUCAAGGUUUUUGAAGUUUAAUCUAAACUUGUCGAAAAUCAAUAAAUCGCAUAAUAAAUUAAAACGAGUUCAAUGAUUUCCAUUUGCUUGAUUUAUGUUUUCUCUCUUUCUUCCAAAAACUGGAUGAUAUUUUGGUCACAACCUGCUCUUUUUUUAAAUGACUGCUUUGUUUCUAGAAAUUUUGUAAUUAAUUUUAUUUGUUGUUUGUGUUGUUUCAUUUAUUUAUUUGGGAUAUUUAAAAUGUCUUCAGGUUCCUGCAUUAAAUGAAUGUAAAGUUUAUUGAUCUUUGAGAAUGUGUUCUUGCGUUAUGGUGCCAUUAUAAUUAUGUUAAUCUACUCAAAACAACAAUAUUAUUGUUACUUAUUGUGUUAUUCAACACAUUAUCACCCUUUGGUUUAUGUGAAUAAAACUCAGGACUAAAACAUGAAAAUCGUUUUGUUUUAUUAAAAGAAACUGAAAGUUUCCACUUCUGGAUUAUUUAUUGGUGCAUCAUUUUUUUUUUUUUUCCAGAGUUAUGAGCCAAACAUGGAAAACCACAGUUAUGAUGAUACAGCAGCUGUAAAAACACAAUAAACUGGGAUUCCCAUCAUCAUAAAGAGGGAAUUCCCCUGUUGUUAAACUUGUAUUUCCCUUAUUUCUCCAUCUGGCCG